rnacentral:rRNA from 1 species
GAUGAACGCUGGCGGCGUGCCUAAUACAUGCAAGUCGAGCGAACAGACGAGGAUCUUGCUCCUCUGACGUUAGCGGCGCACGGGUGAGUAACACGUGGAUAACCUCCCUAUCAGACUGGGAUAACUUCGGGAACCCGGAGCUAAUACCAAAUAAUAUAUUCAACCGCAUGGUUCACUAGUGAAAGACGGUUUUGCUGUCACUUUUAGAUGGUUCCGCGCCGCAUUAGAGAGUUGGUAAGGUAACGGCUUACCAAGGCAACGAUGCGUAGCCGACCUGAGAGGGGGAUCGGCCACACUGCAACUGAGACACGGGCCAGACUCCUACGGGAGGCAGCAGUAGGGAAUCUGCCGCAAUGGGCGAAAGCCUGACGGAGCAACGCCGCGUGAGUGAUGAAGGUCUUCGGAUCGUAAAACGCUGUUAUUAGGGAAGAACAAAUGUGUAAGUAACUAUGCACGUCUUGACGGUACCUAAUCAGAAAGCCACGGCUAACUACGUG